rnacentral:rRNA from 1 species
GACAGAGGAUGCAAGCGUUAUCCGGAAUCAUUGGGCGUAAAGCGCGUGUAGGCGGUUCUGUAAGUCCGCUCUGAAAGCCCAGGGCUCAACCCUGGGAGGCGGGUGGAUACUACAGAACUGGAGUACGGAAGAGGAGAUUGGAAUUCCUGGUGUAGCGGUGAAAUGCGCAGAUAUCGGGAGGAACACCGGUGGCGAAGGCG